GAGCCAUAUUUAGGUAGCCUGUUUUGUCUUUGUGGGUUGUGGGUGAUUGUUCCUGUGUUUGUUACGGGACUGGUUCGGCGUAGUUCGUUUGUUGGGUUAUUAUUUUUGUUCUUUAUUCAGCAAAAGAACGUGAGCUGGCGUAGCAGAAAAUUGCUGACCAAGUCAAUGCGUGCAACCCAACAGGCACAAAACAAACUUGGCAGCAACUGAAGAUGAAAUAUAAAAAUAUACUUCAAACCGCCAAUAUUUAAAAAAAGUCUGAGGGCUGAAAAACGGGUAGGGGUUCACCACCACUCAGAGGCUGAAGAGAUGGCCCUCAGUCAAAAUAGUGGGUGACCUAUUGCUGAAGGCAUCUCUGGAGGAAGCUCAUCUGACCCAACCACCCCCCUAAGACACAAUGGCCUACAUAAGAGUUACUGGUGGUGUAUUCUGUCUGUGGGAGACGGACCUCCAUGCAGUUGAGGAUAAUGAAGACCCUGUGUCAGCUGCCACAGAGAGAGAAGAUACAGAGGCCUAUUGAGGUUUACACUGUAAAAAUAACAUCUAACAGUUGAUAGUGUUGUAUCAUAAUAAAACAUUUUUUUUCUCUAGUAGCGCAAUGCUGGAAAUUACAAUGAGGAAGAGGGUCCAUCCCCCUCUACAGCACAAUUUACCUCAGUAAGAUGUUGUUCAGCAUUGGCCCAUGACUUACAAUGAAACUAAGUAGACCUGGCACUGUGAAAUGUAAUGUAUUUUUUGUGUUCCUAUAGCUCCCUGUGAAACAGCUGUACAAGGUGUACUUACAGAAACAUUUUAUUUUAUUUAGAAAUGUACCACAAGGCUGCAGAUGCUAAAUAUAGAAAUACAACAGCUGGAACAUCAGUUAAAGGUGGGUGAGGUGCCCACAGGUGGAUGAGUUUACUUGUCUGAACAACACAAAAUACAAACUACUGUACUGCAUUUGUACUUGCAGGAAAUAAGGAAGACUUCAUAAAAAGAAAGGCAUAUAGUCUUUAUUUGACACUGGGGAGGUGAUGGGUCAAUCAGAAAUGAUGGUAGCAUAUUGUGUCUCUGACUGCUCUUCCAUUUCGUGCGUCAGCUGGGUG